rnacentral:rRNA from 1 species
GAUCCGGCUCAGGAUGAACGCUAGCUACAGGCUUAACACAUGCAAGUCGAGGGGCAGCAUUUCAGUUUGCUUGCAAACUGGAGAUGGCGACCGGCGCACGGGUGAGUAACACGUAUCCAACCUGCCGAUAACUCGGGGAUAGCCUUUCGAAAGAAAGAUUAAUACCCGAUGGUAUAAUCAGACCGCAUGGUCUUGUUAUUAAAGAAUUUCGGUUAUCGAUGGGGAUGCGUUCCAUUAGGCAGUUGG